rnacentral:rRNA from 1 species
AGUGAGCGGCAAAAGCUCAAAUUUGAAAUCUGGUACCUUCGGUGCCCGAGUUGUAAUUUGGAGAGGGCAACUUUGGGGCCGUUCCUUGUCUAUGUUCCUUGGAACAGGACGUCAUAGAGGGUGAGAAUCCCGUGUGGCGAGGAGUGCGGUUCUUUGUAAAGUGCCUUCGAAGAGUCGAGUUGUUUGG